GCCUUCCUGGCUUAGUUGGUUAAAGCGUCGGUCUCAUACAUUGUAUGAUCUGCUUGAGAACAUGCAGAUUUCACGUGAACCACGUGAUCCGAAGGUCGCCAGUUCGACUCUGGCGGAGGGCA